GCAAGUCGAGCGGACAGAUGGGAGCUUGCUCCCUGAUGUUAGCGGCGGACGGGUGAGUAACACGUGGGUAACCUGCCUGUAAGACUGGGAUAACUCCGGGAAACCGGGGCUAAUACCGGAUGCUUGUUUGAACCGCAUGGUUCAAACAUAAAAGGUGGCUUCGGCUACCACUUACAGAUGGACCCGCGGCGCAUUAGCUAGUUGGUGAGGUAACGGCUCACCAAGGCGACGAUGCGUAGCCGACCUGAGAGGGUGAUCGGCCACACUGGGACUGAGACACGGCCCAGACUCCUACGGGAGGCAGCAGUAGGGAAUCUUCCGCAAUGGACGAAAGUCUGACGGAGCAACGCCGCGUGAGUGAUGAAGGUUUUCGGAUCGUAAAGCUCUGUUGUUAGGGAAGAACAAGUGCCGUUCAAAUAGGGCGGCACCUUGACGGUACCUAACCAGAAAGCCACGGCUAACUACGUGCCAGCAGCCGCGGUAAUACGUAGGUGGCAAGCGUUGUCCGGAAUUAUUGGGCGUAAAGGGCUCGCAGGCGGUUUCUUAAGUCUGAUGUGAAAGCCCCCGGCUCAACCGGGGAGGGUCAUUGGAAACUGGGGAACUUGAGUGCAGAAGAGGAGAGUGGAAUUCCACGUGUAGCGGUGAAAUGCGUAGAGAUGUGGAGGAACACCAGUGGCGAAGGCGAC
rnacentral:rRNA from 1 species